rnacentral:lncRNA from 13 species
CUGUGAUCCCUUAUCGCUGUCCCAGUCAACCACUAGCCUCACUACAAGCUAUCCUGAAAGUCUCUUCAUUUAAGUUAUUUUUCAGAAUGGAAAGGCCUCAUGGCACAGAUAUGAAGAGUUCUGGCUUUGGGGAUAGGAAGAUCUGAAAUGGAAUUUCCAGCUCCAUCAUUUACUGUUUGACUUUAGUUUGACAACUUUUGUCUGAAGUCUUUUCCUCACUAAUUUCAAGUAAUUUGAGAACAUCAAACUUCAAUUUCCUGUCCAGCCCUGAAGAUCCAAAAAGAGUUUCAAGCUGGGACUAUAACUUAAUAGAUCCACUACGGAGAGUUACUCCAACUUUAAGUUCUGAUUCCUCUCUGAUUCCAACCAAAAAAAUGUCCCAGAGAGUUACAUCAACCUCCCAAACGUCUUCCCCUGAAAUGCAAAACCUGGACCUUAUGGACUUCAACCCUGAUCCUUGUAGUAGCUACCUCAACCCUCAACCAGAGGGGCUGCCCCAACUGCAAUACAAAGAUGAGAUGACCCAACAAGAGAGGCAGUGGGAAAGAAUAAACAACAACACGCUUGGACUGUGAUGCUUCAAGUCUUCACUGAAGUCCGCUCAUAUUUCCCUCAGGUUUGUAAACUCAGAUACACAUAAAGAAGGGAAAGGCAUCAGAGAAGAAAUAAGUGAAG